UACGUAGGGUGCAGGCGUUAAUCGGAAUUACUGGGCGUAAAGCGUGCGCAGGCGGUUUGCUAAGACAGGUGUGAAAUCCCCGGGCUUAACCUGGGAACUGCGCUUGUUACUGGCAAGCUAGAGUGUGGCAGAGGGGGGUGGAAUUCCAGGUGUAGCAGUGAAAUGCGUAGAGAUCUGGAGGAACACCGGUGGCGAAGGCGGCAUCCUGGACCAACACUGACACUGAGGAGCGAAAGCCAGGGGAGCAAACGGG
rnacentral:rRNA from 1 species